UCCGAAAGCUGGAUGAUCGCUCUCUUUUUCAUUAAGAAAGAGGGGGAGGAAAGUCCGAGCACUCUUUGUGCUUCGCUUAAAAUUCGAAUAUUAAAAUUCGAAAUAAGAAAUGAGCCAACUGGAGAUUAUCUGUCAAAUUUUCUUAUUUCUCUAUUUAGAUUUUGGAUUUUCAUGCGGAGCAUGAAGUCGUGAAAGUGGCUAACAGCCACCAGGCGUACCACAUUAUAGCUGUGUGUGUUCAUAGUUAUAAUAAUGCUAAGCCUAGGGAAAGUGCCACAGAGACUAUACAAGCUCAUGCUUUGCAUGAGAAAUCCGAAGCACAAAAUAUUAAAUCAGAAAUAGGAAAACUAUUUUUCAUAAUUAUUCUUUUCUGAUUUCGGUAUUUGAAUUUCGAGUUUCCCAUGCGAAGCAUGGGCAAAAGGUGAAAAGUUUUACAAUGUUCCAACACCCCACAGAGUGAGGAGGAGCUUCGUAAAAACGCGUAUGGUGACAUACGAGUUUGAUAUCAACAAAGUUUGCAGGGAAACCUUUAAACUUUGCGUCAAAUAGUUGGUAAACCCUUUCUAGUGAAAGACCGAAGGUGUUAUGCAUCUUCAUUUGUGUCGUUCGAGGUGUAUGGCAACAUACAUCCCAGAUAGAUGAUCAUCUACUCAUCGUAAGAUGAUGGACAAAACUCGGCUUACAGGCUUUCGGACACC
rnacentral:RNase_P_RNA from 1 species